CUGAGCGAGGCCAGGGAUCGAACACACGACCUCAUGGUUCCUAGUCGGAUUUGUUUCCACUGUGCCACAAUGGGAACUCCUGUUUCUGUUCUGAUCCUUCUUGUUGAUGGGAAUGUAAAAUGUGGCAUUGUCCAGAUCAAGACCAGCGUGCAGUGUCACAGGGGCUAUGCUGAUCUGCUGAAGCAGAAACACCAGAUUUAGCAGAGCAGUGGCAAUUGAGACUAAAGUUUUUGAGUUUGCAUUAAUUCACUGCCACUUGUUAGCAUUGAAGUAUAUUACCUUGAAUCAGGCAACUCUCUGUCUUAGGGAAAUGCCUGGAGAGUGACUUGGCUGUGACUCAUCAGCAGCCGGUAUGCCCAGCAGCUGGAAAAGCCAGUACCUCUGUCCAGAAGCUGGGAUCUUGGUGACACACUACAGCUUGCAGCAUUUACUUGACUUGUCCAGGGAUUAAAAGGAACUUUUGAAGAUUGAGUCAUCCAGGCCCUCAUCACAAAGGUAAGUGAGGUUUUGAAUUCCAGUGAUUUUCAUGGGUUACUAAUCCAAGAAAAAUAAGAGACCAGAGCUUUUCUCUGGGGUAAGAAUAGUAGAGAAUGUAGGGAAGAGAAGGAGGAAGUAGAAAGGUGAUGGGAAAAUGGACCCAGGGCCCCAAUUUCAAGGAGAUGCUCUUCCUCUGGUGAAUCAGAUGAAUAGUCCCAGGUAAUCCUGCAGGCCCAUUGUGCCUAUUCCUGGGGCUCUCAGGUUGCUGAAUCAUUACCAAGAGCAUCACCCCAGAGCCAGCACUCAGGCCUGUGACUGCUUCUCCUGUUUCCUUGCAGAGGAAAGACCAUCCUCAUAGGUUGUGGCAGCACUGCAGCCUGCCAGGUGUGGGAAAUUUUGCUCCAUCUUAUAUAAUACUGUUCACCAUUCAUGCCCCAAGAAACCUGUAAACCCAAAGAGGGGCCCUGUUCAUCUAGUGGGGAUGUGAUGGAGAUACAUUGCUGAACCUGUAUGAGGCAAGGGUGGGAGGCAACUGCUACACAUAAAUUGGAGACCCCUGAGCUAGGAAGUGGUUCAGUGAUACCCCUGUCACCACAGUGCGAAGUAAGUAUGAGAUAUGAAAUGUCUGCCUAGAGACUUUGUGGGGGAAUUGAAAGGCCAGGAUGGAUUAGAGAUAAAUUAUGAAGGGAGAACAGAGCACGAUGACUGAUAAGACACGUGGGCUAAGGGAGAGAUGUUCCUGGAUCUCAAUCCUAUGUGAUUAGAAGGAUAUUUUAGAAAAUCCAAAGUUAAAAAUUUCUCUUUGUGCAUCCUUAUUUAUUUAGUUAAGUUUAAAUUAAAUUUAGUUGAUUUACAAUGCUCU